UCCCUGGAGGAAUAGUGGUUAGGCUUCAGCGCUCUCACCGCUGUACCCGGGUUCGAUUCCUGACCAGGGAA